UGGGGAAUUUUGGACAAUGGGCGAAAGCCUGAUCCAGCCAUUCCGCGUGCAGGAUGAAGGCCCUCGGGUUGUAAACUGCUUUUGUACAGAACGAAAAGGUUUCUAUUAAUACUAGGAGCUCAUGACGGUACUGUAAGAAUAAGCACCGGCUAACUACGUGCCAGCAGCCGCGGUAAUACGUAGGGUGCAAGCGUUAAUCGGAAUUACUGGGCGUAAAGCGUGCGCAGGCGGUUAUAUAAGUCAGAUGUGAAAUCCCCGGGCUCAACCUGGGAACUGCAUUUGAGACUGUAUAGCUAGAGUACGGUAGAGGGGGAUGGAAUUCCGCGUGUAGCAGUGAAAUGCGUAGAUAUGCGGAGGAACACCGAUGGCGAAGGCAAUCCCCUGGACCUGUACUGACGCUCAUGCACGAAAGCGUGGGGAGCAAACAGAGAUUAGAUACCC
rnacentral:rRNA from 1 species